rnacentral:lncRNA from 1 species
GUAAUUGUAAUAUGUUAUCUGUUACUUCCGUCGCCGGAAUCGCGAUCUGCUUCUUCCGCGUUCUGCUACUUUCGACGUCGGAAUCGCAAUCCGCGAUCUUUCGCAUAUCCGCGACAGAUUCUUCACAAUCUUCCGCGACCUUCCGCGAGAUCUUCUUCCGUAGCAGAUCCGCUACUUCUGCGAUCUUCUUCCGCAACAGAUCUUCCGCAACAGUCGUGAUCUUCCGCAACAGAUUCCGACUUCAGACUUUGACUUCCGCAAAUACACAAUCUUCCGCAACAGAUUCUGCAAAUUUGCAUUCCACAACAGAUUCUGCAAAUACGCGAUCUUCCGACUUCGUUCUUCCGUGAUUUCAAGUCUUCCGCAAAAUCAAUUUUUCUUUUCUUUUCUUUUCAAGUCUCCCGUGAUUUCAAGUCUUGCGAUUUCAAGUCUGACUUCUGCGAUUUCAAAUACUGACUUCUGCGAUUUCAAGUCUUGCGAUUUCAUACAUACAUCAUUUCGACUUCCGCAAUCUGUCUUCCGACUGCAAUCGCAAUCCGCGUUCUUCCGUCAUUUCGUUCUUCCAUGUUCUUCCGUCUGCCAACUUCCGCAAGAGCGAGUCUUCCGUCUUCCGGGGACUGCCGACGUCAGAUUUCAGACUUCCGCAAGAUAGAGUCUUCCGGCUUCUGACUUCUUCCGUCUUCCGAUUUUAGACUUCCGAUUCAACUUCUGAUUUUGAUUUUCCCAAGUCUUCCGAUUCUUGCGAUUCAACUCCCGAUUUCAUACUUCUGCAAUAGACUUCGACUUCUCAGUGCUUACUGCAAUUGUUCCAGGAACAGCUCAAUUCAAACCCGUCAAGAUUAAGUACCACCCAAAAACUCACCAACGAUAACUUCUUCACAUGUCAGGCACAAAUCAAAACUCUUCUAAAGGGAUAUGAUCUCCUGUCAUACAUGGAUGGAUCGAUCGUGCUGGAUAAUGAUCCUAAAAUUCAGUAAGACCAAUUGCUUUUGGAGUGGAUCUUCUCCACACUUCACACCGACGUCCUAGCACAAAUCCCAAGCGUCGAAACUUCUGCCGAAGCUUGGAAACAACUGCAACAGUUGCAUGCGUCAUCUUCAGGGUCAAGGGUGUUGCAGAUCCGGCAACAACUUCAAACAAUAAAAAAGGGUGAUCUAUUAAUCGAUGCCUAUUUAAUCAAAAUCAUAAGGUUAGUGGAUGGAUACCUUGAGGACUGCCGGAGUAAGUGUUUAAACAGGAGAAGUCAUAUUAUAUAUUCUUGGGGGAUUGGAUACUGACUAUGAAGCUAUAGUUGCCGUAAUUUUAUCUCAAUUAGAGACAAUGAAUCUGCCAACGGUACGCACACUUCUAACAAAUCAGGAAAUUCGAAACUCAAAGGUUAGGAACUCUCAAACAACUUUUUCAAUUAAUGCAAUCAACCAUAAUUCUAAACGAGACCGAGAGACGAGACCGGUAUGUCAAAUAUGUGGCAAACGUGGACACAUCGCAAUUGCAUGUCACAACAGAUACAACGAAACUCUUUAUCCAACACCUCUGGAGCAUAGAGCACGCCAGAAGGCUCAGAUGAACAAAACUAUGCAAAAGGCAACUCCGGCAGAAAUUAAUGCACUCUGGAAUCCAGAUUCUGCAGCUACGGGGCAUGUCUCUACGUAAAUCUUUAUAAAUCUGAUGGUGCAGGUAAUCAUCAGUAUGUUCAUCUACAUAAAUCUUUUUCGAACCAUCCGGGUAUAGUGGUUGCAGAUGGUGCAGCAGUGCCAGUUGAAGGAGUUGGAGAUUCAAUCUUCUCCAAAAAUAAUUAUAAUAUUCAUGUUAAUGAUAUUUCUGUGGUUCCAUCGAUAGCAAGAAAUUUGCUAUCAGUCUACAAGCUUUGCAAUGACAACAACUUCGGAAUAUGGUUUGACAAAUCAUGUGUAUGUCUAUUGGACUUGCAGACUGAAAAAUUAGUAGCAAAAGGCAGAGCUGCGAAUGGAAUGUACGAGCUAAAUCUGGACGAUGCGAGAGCGACAACGGAGGUCAACAGAAUAAAAUCUGUCUCAAUGGAUUUAUGGCAUUAUCGCUUAGGCCAUAUUUCAUCAAAAACAACUUUGGACAUUGUUAAACUUUUUAAACUUCCUGUGAAUUCAGUAAAUAAAGAUCUUAAUUGUCGUUUAUGUGUAAUGGCCAAACAUCAUCGUCUUCCUUCAUAUACACGUCCGAAAAAUUCUG